rnacentral:rRNA from 1 species
GUGGAUUAGAUACCCUGGUAGUCCACGCUGUAAACGAUCAAUACUAGGUGUGCGGGGACUGACCCCCUGCGUGCCGCAGUUAACACAAUAAGUAUUGCACCUGGGGAGUACGAUCGCAAGGUUGAAACUCAAAGGAAUUGACGGGGGCCCGCACAAGCGGUGGAUUAUGUGGUUUAAUUCGAAGCAACGCGAAGAACCUUACCAGGGCUUGACAUCCUACUAACGAAGUAGAGAUACAUUAGGUGCCCUUCGGGGAAAGUAGAGACAGGUGGUGCACGGCCGUCGCCAACU